AUCGCUUCUCGGCCUUUUGGCUAAGAUCAAGUGUAGAUCUUAGUGCUCCGUAAAAAUUUCUAAUUUUCUAACAAAAUUUUUGUUUAUAAGGCCAUAGUUAUAUAUUAAAGUGUUUGUAAAAGUCUCGUGAACCUGUUUGUUGGAUUUAUAAAUCGUUAUCGUACUGUUA
rnacentral:snRNA from 1 species